rnacentral:rRNA from 1 species
AGAGUUUGAUCAUGGCUCAGGACGAACGCUGGCGGCAUGCCUAAUACAUGCAAGUCGAGCGAACAGAUGAAGUGCUUGCACUUCUGACGUUAGCGGCGAACGGGUGAGUAACACGUAAGGAAUCUACCUAUAAGCGGGGGAUAACAUUCGGAAACGGGUGCUAAUACCGCAUAAUAUCUUCUUCCGCAUGGAAGAAGAUUGAAAGACGGCUCUGCUGUCACUUAUAGAUGACCUUGCGGUGCAUUAGUUAGUUGGUGGGGUAACGGCCUACCAAGACGAUGAUGCAUAGCCGACCUGAGAGGGUGAUCGGCCACAUUGGGACUGAGACACGGCCCAAACUCCUACGGGAGGCAGCAGUAGGGAAUCUUCCGCAAUGGGCGAAAGCCUGACGGAGCAAUGCCGCGUGAGUGAAGAAGGCCUUCGGGUCGUAAAACUCUGUUAUAAGAGAAGAACAAAUUGUAGAGUAACUGCUACAGUCUUGACGGUAUCUUAUCAGAAAGCCACGGCUAACUACGUGCCAGCAGCCGCGGUAAUACGUAGGUGGCAAGCGUUGUCCGGAUUUAUUGGGCGUAAAGGGAGCGCAGGUGGUUUCUUAAGUCUGAUGUGAAAGCCCACGGCUUAACCGUGGAGGGUCAUUGGAAACUGGGGAACUUGAGUACAGAAGAGGAAUGUGGAACUCCAUGUGUAGCGGUGGAAUGCGUAGAUAUAUGGAAGAACACCAGUGGCGAAGGCGACAUUCUGGUCUGUUACUGACACUGAGGCUCGAAAGCGUGGGGAGCAAACAGGAUUAGAUACCCUGGUAGUCCC